rnacentral:rRNA from 1 species
AGAGUUUGAUCCUGGCUCAGAAUGAACGUUGGCGGCGUGGAUUAGGCAUGCAAGUCGAACGGGUCCGGUCUUCGGACCGGGCCAGUGGCGCAAGGGUGAGUAAGGCGACGGUAACCAACCCCAUGGUUGGGCAUAGCCGCGGGAAACUGCGGGUAAUUCCCAGCGACGUUGGCUUCGGGCAUCCGGAGCCAACCAAAGCU